AUCUCUGGAAUCCUCUCGAGUCGGGGAGACGGCUGUUUCAUCCCCCUCCCCGAGCACGCUGCUGAGCCCGAACCAGAAAACCAGGCGCCCUCUAGGAAGAGCAGAACAUCUUGUGCGGGUGUUUACCUGAAGGUGACCAUGUCCUUCCCCAAACUGGACCGGAUCGGAUGCCAGGUCUGCCUCGAAAACUUUCCCAAUAUCAUUCAAUUUAAGACACACCUCCGAGGCAAUGAGCACCAUAAGCAAAUGGUGGAGCUCUUCCCAAAAGGGAAAUUCCAUAAUCGAGGGUAUUUCUGCCACAUAAAUGUUAUGGAGCAUGUCGCAGAGCACCAACCGGACCGGAUGAUCAUAGGCCUGUCCAUGGUGACUGUGUGUCAUCAGGCUGAGCUGAAACACGUAUUCUACUUGUGCCAUCUGUGUGAGGAGAGCUGCACACAGAAACAGAUAAUGGGCCACCUCUACUCUCCCGCUCACCUCAUCAACUACUAUACUUGCACAGACCCUGAUGUGCUGAGUUUCUCGUGGUUUCCGGGCCCGAGUAUGUUCCAAGAUGUGAAGCCCGUAGCCAUGCGGGAUGUAAAGAAGAAUGGAAAUGGGGUCUUACAGGUUCUGGAUUUGCCUAAAGACCUGUUCUGUGUCAUCAGGGGAGCCUCUUACGCUGCAGCGAUGUCUACACUUGAGGAAAAUGAGAAGCUUGCAUCACAGCUCAAGGGUCAGUUCCUUCUUAUAAUCAUCCUUUGA
rnacentral:lncRNA from 1 species